AGUGACUUUGCAUUGGUUUUACAUUUAAAAUCCCCAAUUGUAUGACAACAGCAAUUAAAUUUAUUGUCUACGAACGGUCACCAUGCAAAACUAGCAGCAGCUAGUUAGGGUUAGUGUUAAUUGUCCGUAAAGAAACAUAGCUAUUCUCCAAUAUGAAUGGAGAACGGCGCUAGGUUUAUUCCUGAUGUGGAACGUAAUCACAUACAUACAUACAUACAAUGCAUAAAUGUCAUUGUCUAAAAUUUUACUACCACGCGGCCAUUACGUAAGUUUGCUGGAACGGUUGGAUCACAUGAAUCAAAUUAGCCGUUCUGGUGGCCCUGGUGGGUAUAUUGAAUUUACCGACUUUUCGUCCACUUAAACAUUUUGUCUAAAAUUUUACUACCACGCGGCCAUUAUGUAAGUUUGCUGGAACGGUUGGAGAUUUUUAUUGCGGUGGACGUGUGUUUACUCUCGUUGGUGUACGAAUUGGAAAGUUUAACUUCUGUGCAUUUUCGUGGAAAACUGCAUUCGUUUAAUUAGAUACGCACGGAAAUAAACCGCCACGAUGGGAAUAAAAUUCCUCGAAGUUAUCAAGCCAUUCUGCAGCAUACUCCCGGAAAUUGCAAAGCCGGAACGAAAGAUUCUUUCAGAAAGUCACCACGGUCAUGAGCACAGUCAUCCGCAUGGGCAUGGACACACACAAGAGCAUGUCAGUCCAGAAGCACUAAUGAAUCCAACGUUUCUGAGACAAUCUCAGCAUGUUGGUGCUAAUAUGUCGGCACCUAUACCCACAGCGCAUGCCACGUAUGAUUAGUACAAUGAGUACGAUAGCGAUACCCAUGCCAGCACCACCACCUAGAAGUGGUACAAGUACCGGCGUACCAACAGCAUUUAAUGAUACGCUAAUCGAUUUGAGUGGCGAAUCGCAACAGUAAGUGUGUAAACCGAUAGGAAUUACAACGUAAUUUGGUAUUUUUAUUUAACACGGAUAAAUAUAUAUUUACAUAAAUGUGUAUAUGGAAAAGACGCACCACAAAUUGAAUGCACACUUAAGAUGCGUAGGUACAUUCAUAAAGUUGGUAAAUGUGGAUGAUGUUAAGAAAUGGUCGGUUCUACAGUUGGAGACGAAAAGCGAAUUUCUAAUUAUGCGUUUAAAAGUUAGUUUAGGUUGCCUUUUCGAUUUAGUAAGAACUUUAAUGGUAUAAAAGGGAUUAUCCGUGAUGUGUAAUAUAUAUAUAUAUAUAUAUAUUUUUUUUUUUUUUUUUAAUUUUGAAUGAAGCAGAACUUUUGUAAAACAAAACGAAAAUCCAUAACUUCUAUCCAUAAUUUCUGUACAAUUUUUUAAAGAUAAUUCUGAA